rnacentral:rRNA from 1 species
CCUACGGGAGGCAGCAGUGAGGAAUAUUGGUCAAUGGGCUUACGCCUGAACCAGCCAAGUCGCGUGAGGGAAGACUGCCCUCUGGGUUGUAACCCUCUUUUGUCAGGACGCAAAGCCGGCUACGUAUAGCCGGACUGAGUGUACCUACAGAAAAAGAAUGGACUAACUCCGUGCCAGCCGCCGCGGUAAUACGGAGGAUGCGAGCGUUCUCCGGUGUGAUUGGGUUAAAGGGGUGCGUGGGCGGAAUGCCAGGUCAGCGGGAAAAUCGCGGGCCUCAACCUCGCUCCGCCGUUGAGACUGGCGUUCUUGAGUGCGCGAGAGGUAGGCGGAAUG